rnacentral:rRNA from 1 species
UACGUGAGGCGCAAGCGUUAUCCGGAAUUAUUGGGCGUAAAGAGCUCGUAGGCGGUUUGUCGCGUCUGACCGUGAAAGUCCGGGGCUCAACUCCGGAUACUGCGGUGGGUACGGGCAGACUAGAGUGAUGUAGGGGAGACUGGAAUUCCUGGUGUAGCGGUAGAAAUGCGCAGAUAUCAGGAGGAACACCGAUGGCGAAGGCAGGUCUCUGGGCAUUAACUGACGCUGAGGAGCGAAAGCAUGGGGAGCGAACAGG